GACGAACGCUGGCGGCGUGCUUAACACAUGCAAGUCGAACGGUAAGGCCCCUUCGGGGGUACACGAGUGGCGAACGGGUGAGUAACACGUGAGCAACCUGCCCUUGACUCUGGAAUAACAGUUGGAAACAGCUGCUAAUACUGGAUAUUCAUCGUCUCCUUCCUGGGGGGUGGUGGAAAGCUCCGGCGGUCAGGGAUGGGCUCGCGGCCUAUCAGCUUGUUGGUGAGGUAAUGGCUCACCAAGGCUUCGACGGGUAGCCGGCCUGAGAGGGCGACCGGCCACACUGGGACUGAGAUACGGCCCAGACUCCUACGGGAGGCAGCAGUGGGGAAUAUUGCACAAUGGGCGCAAGCCUGAUGUAGCAACGCCGCGUGCGGGAUGACGGCCUUCGGGUUGUAAACCGCUUUCAGUAGGGACGAAGGGUGACUGACGGUACCUACAGAAGAAGGACCGGCUAACUACGUG
rnacentral:rRNA from 1 species